rnacentral:rRNA from 1 species
CCUACGGGGGGCAGCAGUGGGGAAUAUUGCGCAAUGGGCGAAAGCCUGACGCAGCGACGCCGCGUGAGGGAUGAAGGUCUUCGGAUCGUAAACCUCUGUCAGCAAGGAAGAACAGUCACUGUGCUAAUCAGCAGUGAAUUUACUGUACCUGCAAAGGAAGCACCGGCUAACUCCGUGCCAGCAGCCGCGGUAAUACGGAGGGUGCGAGCGUUAAUCGGAAUUAGUGGGCGUAAAGCGAUCGUAGGCGGUAUGUCAAGUCAAGGGUGAAAUCCCGGCGCUCAACGUGGGAACUGCAUUUGAAACUGGCAAACUGGAGUGUGGGAGAGGAUAGUGGAAUUCCAGGUGUAGGAGUGAAAUCCGUAGAUAUCUGGAGGAACAUCAGUGGCGAAGGCGACUAUCUGGCACAUAACUGACGCUGAGGAGCGAAAGCGUGGGUAGCAAACAGGAUUAGAUACCCCUGUAGUC